rnacentral:rRNA from 1 species
CUUAACACAUGCAAGUCGAGGGGCAGCAUUUCAGUUUGCUUGCAAACUGGAGAUGGCGACCGGCGCACGGGUGAGUAACACGUAUCCAACCUGCCGAUAACUCGGGGAUAGCCUUUCGAAAGAAAGAUUAAUACCCGAUGGUAUAAUCAGACCGCAUGGUCUUGUUAUUAAAGAAUUUCGGUUAUCGAUGGGGAUGCGUUCCAUUAGGCAGUUGGUGAGGUAACGGCUCACCAAACCUUCGAUGGAUAGGGGUUCUGAGAGGAAGGUCCCCCACAUUGGAACUGAGACACGGUCCAAACUCCUACGGGAGGCAGCAGUGAGGAAUAUUGGUCAAUGGGCGCAGGCCUGAACCAGCCAAGUAGCGUGAAGGAUGACUGCCCUAUGGGUUGUAAACUUCUUUUAUAUGGGAAUAAAGUUUUCCACGUGUGGAAUUUUGUAUGUACCAUAUGAAUAAGGAUCGGCUAACUCCGUGCCAGCAGCCGCGGUAAUACGGAGGAUCCGAGCGUUAUCCGGAUUUAUUGGGUUUAAAGGGAGCGUAGGUGGACAGUUAAGUCAGUUGUGAAAGUUUGCGGCUCAACCGUAAAAUUGCAGUUGAUACUGGCUGUCUUGAGUACAGUAGAGGUGGGCGGAAUUCGUGGUGUAGCGGUGAAAUGCUUAGAUAUCACGAAGAACUCCGAUUGCGAAGGCAGCUCACUGGACUGCAACUGACACUGAUGCUCGAAAGUGUGGGUAUCAAACAGGAUUAGAUACCCUGGUAGUCCACACAGUAAACGAUGAAUACUCGCUGUUUGCGAUAUACAGUAAGCGGCCAAGCGAAAGCAUUAAGUAUUCCACCUGGGGAGUACGCCGGCAACGGUGAAACUCAAAGGAAUUGACGGGGGCCCGCACAAGCGGAGGAACAUGUGGUUUAAUUCGAUGAUACGCGAGGAACCUUACCCGGGCUUAAAUUGCAUUUGAAUAUAUUGGAAACAGUAUAGCCGUAAGGCAAAUGUGAAGGUGCUGCAUGGUUGUCGUCAGCUCGUGCCGUGAGGUGUCGGCUUAAGUGCCAUAACGAGCGCAACCCUUAUCUUUAGUUACUAACAGGUCAUGCUGAGGACUCUAGAGAGACUGCCGUCGUAAGAUGUGAGGAAGGUGGGGAUGACGUCAAAUCAGCACGGCCCUUACGUCCGGGGCUACACACGUGUUACAAUGGGGGGUACAGAAGGCAGCUACCUGGUGACAGGAUGCUAAUCCCAAAAGCCUCUCUCAGUUCGGAUCGAAGUCUGCAACCCGACUUCGUGAAGCUGGAUUCGCUAGUAAUCGCGCAUCAGCCAUGGCGCGGUGAAUACGUUCCCGGGCCUUGUACACACCGCCCGUCAAGCCAUGAAAGCCGGGGGUACCUGAAGUACGUAACCGCAAGGAGCGUCCUAGGGUAAAACUGGUAAUUGGGGCUAAA